AAUUCCUACGGGACGCAGCAGUAGGGAAUCUUCCACAAUGGGCGAAAGCCUGAUGGAGCAACGCCGCGUGGGUGAAGAAGGUCUUCGGAUCGUAAGACCCUGUUGUUAGAGAAGAAAGUGCGUGAGAGUAACUGUUCACGUUUCGACGGUAUCUAACCAGAAAGCCACGGCUAACUACGUGCCAGCAGCCGCGGUAGUACGUAGGUGGCAAGCGUUAUCCGGAUUUAUUGGGCGUAAAGGGAACGCAGGCGGUCUUUUAAGUCUGAUGUGAAAGGCUUCGGCUUAACCGGGGUGAUGCGUUGGUA
rnacentral:rRNA from 1 species